AGCCCUUGAUCAUGUGGCACAAAGUCUUCACUUCCCUGGGGUGAAGACCCAGUGAAACCCUCAGUGACAACCCCCAGGAGGGUUUUCUUCCGCGUUGACCGAGCUGUCUGUGGGUAACAUUAUGUUAUAUUUGUAUAUUGGUUGCAACUAUCAAUUGGCUGCAGGUACAAGACUUUGGCAAAAAUCAUAAAAGCAUUCUGUGAGAAUCAGUUGAAUAUAUACAUUUUAUAAAACAGAGUAUCAUAUAUUUUAUUAUUAUUUGUAAACUUUGUGUCACAAAUCUUCUAGUGUUAAUAAAUUUUAUAAUAAAAGUAGACGUGUGUAUAUAUGAUAUAUAUGUGUAUAUGCAUUUUUCCCCUGUAGCACACCUCUAAGUCUUCCUCUGCUGAUAAGCAUCAUUUUGUUUCUAUUCUACCAUGGAAUUCCAUUUUACUCAUGCUGGGUUCAAAGGGUAUGUGCAUUUUUAAUUUUAAUAGAUAUUUUCAGAUUGCUUUCAACAGAAGUUAUAAUUCUCAUUUCUAGCAGCAGUGCAUAAGAGUACCCUUUUCUCACACAGCUGCCAACAAUAGAUUUGUAGAUUUAUUUUUUGCCAGUCUGAAAGGCAUAAAGUGGUAUCUUAUUAUUUCAACUGGCUCCCCUCUGCCAUCCCAGGAAGUCUGAAGGUCUUUUCUUAUGUUGGGUGACAUUUGGCUUCCUUCUGUGACUUGCCUCUUGGUUUUUCUGUUUUUCUAUUGGGUUGUUUAUUCCUUCCCUGUCAAUUUGUGCAUGUUCUCUGUAUAUUAAAUUUCAGCCUUACAAGUGGCUCUGUGUUCCAAAUCUCAAUUAUAUAUUGACUUUACAUCAUCUUUUGUCAUACAAAAAUUAAUUUUUGCAUUACCAAAUGUUUAUCAUUCCUUCUAUAGCUCCUGGGUAUCUGGUCUUGGUUAGGAACCUGUCCCUUUGUUGAGAGUGUUGAUAUAACCUUUCAGAAUUUCUUGCUGAAUUUUUAUUGUUCUGUUUAAGCCUUUAAUAUAAAUCUUAUUUUCAUAUAUGGCUAAAACAGGAGUCCAAUUUUAUUUUUUUUCUGGAUAAGUAGCCUGUUAUGCCAGUUAAAUCUUUGUGGUUUAGUGAAAAACAAAAUAAUUAUGUAUUAAAUAAUAAUUCCCCACUGCAUUGAAAUGCUACUUUUGUUAUAUUAAGUUAUUAUAUAUACUCACAUAUAUUUUAUAUUCUAAUCUGUCAUUCUUAUGCCAAUGACAUAUUGGUUUGGUCAUAGUAUUUUUGUAGUAUGUUUUAAUUUGGGGGAUUUUAGGCAGGCAAUAUAUAACACUAUUUCUGGGAUAAAAACAAUAAUUAUGUAUUAAAUAAUAAUUCCCCACUGUAUUGAAAUGCUACUUUUGUUAAAUUAUUAUCUAUACUCACAUAUAUUUUAUAUUCUAAUCUGUCAUUCUUAUGCCAAUGACAUAUCGAUCUGGUCAUAGUGUUUUUGUAGUAUGUUUUAAUUUGGGCGGUUUUAGGCAGGCAAUAUAUAACACUAUUUCUGGGAUGAGGUCAUGAAGAGUGCCUCUUUUAUUCUGUUUCCCUUUCCAUGACAUUCACUGCUGGGAGGCUCUGUGUUGAAAUUGUGGAGACACAAGAUGAAAGCAAUUGGAUCCCUGCGUCACUUUAUGGAGGAGAGUUUCUUCCCUGGAGCUUUGCCUGAUUACAUCAUCUUUGUGUGAGUGAUAAACAACCCUUUGUUUUUUACUUCAGCAUAGCCUAUCCUGUCCCAACUAAUCAUUGGUGCUGCUGUGUCAAAAAGCCAAAAUAUACAGCAUUAGCUUAGUGGCUGGUGGUGUGUGCCAAGGACACUGCUACUGGAGGCUGGGGCAUGACAAUCUGUACUAUUAAUGGUAACACACUUGUUAAAUGGCACACUUGCAUUAAGAAGGCUAAGAAAGAAGGCUAUUGUAAGCGUAUCUUGGCUGUUGAUUUUAUUCAACAAAGUCUUACAAGAAAUAAGUGUCUAGUUUGUGAGCAGCAAUAAAGGAAAUAGAGAAAUUCCAGAAAGUUAGGGCUUUGCAAAAUUAAAAAGCCGACUGCUUCCAGAUGCCAACUAACUUGAAACAGGAUUGACAACACCAUUGAGCAACAAAGGCCCAAACUACCUCAGGGCAAAAGGCAGAUUAAAAAGAUCCAGAUAGACUCAAGGUAAGUGCCAUGAUAUUGUGUGUGUGAGAGAGAUGGGGGAGCAAAGAAGGUAAAUAAGUUGAGAUCUACCUCUCAAAAAGAACUUUUCAGGGAGUUAUGGUACAGGGAACUCUUUGGAAACAAAUCAAAAGCAGACUAAGUUUUUAAGGACAUGGUAUUACAAAAGAAACCCACAGUUUGAACUAAAAAAGGCUUGGACUAUUCAUGACUUAAAACAAGCUGUAGCUCCCCAAUUUUCCAUGGGCCAACAGCAGCUGAGUUUCACAGUCCAAACACAGCAUAUUCUUCCACGUCCAUUUGAGAUGUGGCCAAGGAGGGUGAUGGAAUGACAAAAGGGCCAGGGAGAACAAGGAACAAGGGACUUCUUCCUGGAGAAGCUUAAUGAAGAAAUCUUCUCUAACGAGGGUAGGAGUUUUCACAAUGUCUACUCAGAAGGAUUUCAGAAUUGUUACCCCUACUUUUCUUCAUUCUCUCCACUUAAAACUAAAAGUGUUUACUGCAGUUGUCCUAACCCCACUCCAUCAUUGAAUAUUGGGUCUGUAUAGGAGGAAAGGAAUAUGUCUCUUCUAGUUUAUAAAUCUCCAGACCAAGAAGAAGCAGGUAUAGACCUGAUGGAGAGCACUACGCGGUUCACUUGAAGACCCUCAAUUUCUUUUUCUUUCUUUCUUUCUUUUUUUUUUCUUUUUUUUUAUUUUUUAUUUUUAGAGUCAGGGUUUCACCAUAUUGGUGUAUUGGUGACUGGCCUCAAACUCCUGGCCUCAGGUGAUCCACCCGCCUUGGUCUCCCAAAGUGUUGGGAUUACAGACGUGAGCCACUGCACCCAGCCUAAGAAGAUUUCAGAAUUGUUACCCCUAUCUGUCUUCAUUCUCUCCAUUUAAAACUAAAAGUGUUUACUGCAGUUGUCCUAACCCCACUCCAUCAUUGAAUAUUGGGUCUGUAUAGGAGGAAAGGAAUAUGUCUCUUCUAGUUUAUAAAUCUCCAGACCAAGAAGAAGCAGGUAUAGACCUGAUGGAGAGCACUAGGCGUUCACUUGAAGACCCUCAAUUUCUUUUUCUUUCUUUCUUUCUUUUUUUUUUUUUUUAGAGACAGGGUUUCACCAUAUUGGUGUAUUGGUGACUGGCCUCAGACUCCUUACCUCAGGUGAUCCACCCGCCUUGGUCUCCCAAAGUGUUGGGAUUACAGACGUGAGCCACUGCUCCUAGCCUAAGAAAACUCUCAAUUUCAAGCUGGAUUUGCUGACUUAUGGGAGUGGGGUUUUCUCUCUUGAGAAAGCGAGAGUAUGUUCUACAUAUGGGGAAAACAAUGACCAGAGGGGCAUGCAGGAAGAUUACACUUCCUACUUCCUGGUAGUUAGGUGGGGCCAUGUGACUAAUUCUAGCAAAUGAAAUGUGAGUGGAAGUGUCAUGUACCACUUCUGGCCAAAGUUUAAAAGUUGAUGUGUUUCCCUAACACUCUGUCUUUCGUCAUGGUGACCUUGGAGGCCACCAGUGAGGUGAUGGUGGACAGGAUGAAGGAUGCCUAGAACUAAAGGGGUUUUCACUAACCCACGUUAGAUUUUGCAUGAAUGAGAUAACAUAUUGCUUUCUCUCUCUCUCUCUCUCUCUUUUUUUUUUUUUUUUUUUUUUUUUUUUGAGAUGGAGCUGCGUUCUUGUUCACCAGGCUGAAGUGCUAUGUGCCUCACCGCAACCUCUGCCGCCCGGGUUCAAGUGAUUCUCCUGCCUCAGCCUCCUGAGUAGCUGGUACUACAGGCAUGCACCACCAUGCCUGGCUAAUUUUUUAUUUUAGUAGAGAUGGGGUUUCUCCAUGUUGGUCAGGCUGGUCUCAAACUCAUGACGUCAGGUGAUCUGCCCGCCUCAGCCUCCCAAACUGCUGGGAUUACGUAUUUCUUAAUGUUUAGCUACUGGGAAUAAUUUAUGUUAGAUUAUUUUAGGUUUUCUACCUAUACAAUCAUAUCAUCUGUGAAAGGUAAUGUUUGAAAAUUUCUUCCUUUUUGAUCCUUACACCUUUUGUUUCUUGUCUGCGUCUUGCUGUACUGCCUGGGACUUCGUAGUCAAUGUUGGGUAGAAGCGAUGACAGCUGGGACCAUGGGCUUGCUUCUUACAGGAAAGGAAAGCUUUCCAUAUUUCAGGCUGGAGUGCAAUGCGGCUCACCGCAACCUCUGCCUCCCGGGUUCAAGCGAUUCUCCUGCCCCAGCCUCCCGAGUAGCUGGGACUACAGGCAUGUGCCACCCUGUGCCACCCUGUGAAGAGGUGCCUUCUGCCAUGAUUGUAAGUUUCCUGAGGCCUCCCCAGCCAAGUGGAACUGUGAGUCAUUAAACCUCUUUUCUUUAUAAGUUACCCAGUUUUAAGUAUGUCUUAUAGUAGUGUGAGAAUGCACUAAUGAGCUGACAUUUCUGUUCAUAUACCUGAUUAGGUCAUGCUGAAUUCUGUUUAUUGUCUUUUAAUCGGGAUUUUUGCGUCUAUGCUGACGAGUGAGACUGACUUUGUCAGGUUUUAGUAUCAGGGUAAUUCUAGUCUCAAAAAUGAAUUGAGGCCAUUUUAUGCUCUUUAAUAUUCAUUUUCUAUUCUCUAGAAGAGCUUGUAUAUGAUUGGCAUGGUUUCUAGAAGAGCUUAUGAUUGGCAUGGUCUCUUCCUUAAAUGUUUGGUUGAAUUUGUAGGCCUGGGUUUUUUUUUUCCUUUUUACUUUUAUUUUACUUUAAGU
rnacentral:lncRNA from 1 species